rnacentral:rRNA from 1 species
GAUGAACGCUGGCGGCGUGCCUAAUACAUGCAAGUCGAGCGAACAGACGAGGAGCUUGCUCCUCUGACGUUAGCGGCGGACGGGUGAGUAACACGUGGAUAACCUACCUAUAAGACUGGGAUAACUUCGGGAAACCGGAGCUAAUACCGGAUAAUAUAUUGAACCGCAUGGUUCAAUAGUGAAAGACGGUUUUGCUGUCACUUAUAGAUGGAUCCGCGCCGCAUUAGCUAGUUGGUAAGGUAACGGCUGACCAAGGCAACGAUGCGUAGCCGACCUGAGAGGGUGAUCCGCCACACUGGAACUGAGACACGGUCCAGACUCCUACGGGAGGCAGCAGUAGGGAAUCUUCCGCAAUGGGCGAAAGCCUGACGGAGCAACGCCGCGUGAGUGAUGAAGGUCUUCGGAUCGUAAAACUCUGUUAUUAGGGAAGAAAAAAUAAAUUAGGAAAUGAAUUUAUCUUGACGGUACUGUGCCAGAAAGCGACGGCUAACUACGUGCCAGCCGCCGCGGUAA